AGGUGUACAGGUCAUAUGUGAUUAGGUUUGCAGGACACAUGUGAUUAGAUGUGCAGGAUGUUGUUAGGACACGUGUGAUUAGGUGUGCAGGACACGUGUGAUUAGGUGUGCAGGACACGUGUGAUUAGGUGUGCAGGAUGUUGUUAGGACACAUGUGAUUAGGUGUGCAGGACUCAUGUGAUUAGAUGUGCAGGAUGUUGUUAGGACACAUGUGAUUAGGUGUGCAGGAUGUUGUUAGGACACAUGUGAUUAGGUGUGCAGGACACAUGUGAUUAGGUGUGCAGGAUGUUGUUAGGACACAUGUGAUUAGGUGUGCAGGAUGUUGUUAGGACACAUGUGAUUAGGUGUGCAGGAUGUUGUUAGGACACAUGUGAUUAGGUGUGCAGGAUGUUGUUAGGACACAUGUGAUUAGGUGUGCAGGACACAUGUGAUUAGGUGUGCAGGACACGUGUGAUUAGGUGUGCAGGACACAUGUGAUUAGAUGUGCAGGAUGUUGUUAGGACACAUGUGAUUAGGUGUGCAGGACUCAUGUGAUUAGAUGUGCAGGAUGUUGUUAGGACACAUGUGAUUAGAUGUGCAGGAUGUUGUUAGGACACAUGUGAUUAGAUGUGCAGGAUGUUGUUAGGACACAUGUGAUUAGAUGUGCAGGAUGUUGUUAGGACACAUGUGAUUAGAUGUGCAGGAUGUUGUUAGGACACAUGUGAUUAGAUGUGCAGGAUGUUGUUAGGACACAUGUGAUUAGAUGUGCAGGAUGUUGUUAGGACACAUGUGAUUAGAUGUGCAGGAUGUUGUUAGGACACAUGUGAUUAGGUGUGCAGGAUGUUGUUAGGACACAUGUGAUUAGAUGUGCAGGAUGUUGUUAGGACACAUGUGAUUAGAUGUGCAGGAUGUUGUUAGGACACAUGUGAUUAGAUGUGCAGGAUGUUGUUAGGACACAUGUGAUUAGGUGUGCAGGACACAUGUGAUUAGCUGUGCAGGAUGUUGUUAGGACACAUGUGAUUAGGUGUGCAGGACACAUGUGAUUAGGUGUGCAGGACACAUGUGAUUAGGUGUGCAGGACACAUGUGAUUAGGUGUGCAGGACACAUGUGAUUAGGUGUGCAGGACACAUGUGAUUAGGUGUGCAGGACACAUGUGAUUAGGUGUGCAGGACACAUGUGAUUAGGUGUGCAGGACACAUGUGAUUAGGUGUGCAGGACACAUGUGAUUAGGUGUGCAGGACACAUGUGAUUAGGUGUGCAGGACACAUGUGAUUAGGUGUGCAGGACACAUGUGAUUAGGUGUGCAGGACACAUGUGAUUAGGUGUGCAGGACACAUGUGAUUAGGUGUGCAGGACACAUGUGAUUAGGUGUGCAGGACACAUGUGAUUAGGUGUGCAGGACACAUGUGAUUAGGUGUGCAGGACACAUGUGAUUAGGUGUGCAGGACACAUGUGAUUAGGUGUGCAGGACACAUGUGAUUAGGUGUGCAGGACACAUGUGAUUAGGUGUGCAGGACACAUGUGAUUAGGUGUGCAGGACACAUGUGAUUAGGUGUGCAGGACACAUGUGAUCUUCAACUAAAUGAUGUGGUCUAACAGCCUAUAGGUGGAAAUCAUUAUGUAUACAGUGUUAAAAGAAAUGA